CGAAAGCCUGACGGAGCAACGCCGCGUGAGGGACGAAGGCCUCUGGGCUGUAAACCUCUUUUCUCAAGGAAGAAGAUAUGACGGUACUUGAGGAAUAAGCCACGGCUAAUUCCGUGCCAGCAGCCGCGGUAAUACGGGAGUGGCAAGCGUUAUCCGGAAUUAUUGGGCGUAAAGCGUCCGCAGGCGGCUUUUCAAGUCUGCUGUUAAAGCGUGGAGCUUAACUCCAUCAUGGCAGUGGAAACUGAAAGGCUUGAGUAUGGUAGGGGCAGAGGGAAUUCCCGGUGUAGCGGUGAAAUGCGUAGAUAUCGGGAAGAACACCAGUGGCGAAGGCGCUCUGCUGGGCCAUUACUGACGCUCAUGGACGAAAGCCAGGGGAGCGAAAG
rnacentral:rRNA from 1 species